rnacentral:rRNA from 1 species
AACGAACGCUGGCGGCAUGCCUAACACAUGCAAGUCGAACGAGGCCUUCGGGCCUAGUGGCGCACGGGUGAGUAACGCGUGGGAACCUGCCCUUAGGUUCGGGAUAACUCCCCGAAAGGGGCGCUAAUACCGGAUACUUUCUUCGGGCCAAAGAUUGAGUGCCUUUGGCUGGGCCCGCGUGGGAUUGGCUAGGUGGUAGGGUAAAAGCCUCCGAGUGCUGCGAUACAUAGCUGGUCUGAGAGGCUGAUCAGCCACACUGGGGCUGAGACACGGCCGGGAAUACUAGGGGAGGCAGCAGUGGGGAAUAUUGGACAACGGGGGAAGUGAUGAUGCAGCAAUGCCGGGUAAGUGAUGAAGGCCGGAGGGUUGUAAAGCUCUUUUAUCCGUGAUGAUAAUGACGGUACCGGGAGAAUAAGCACCGGCUAACUCCGUG